GGAUCAUUACCGAGUGAGGGCCCCGGCCCGACCUCCAACCCCUUUGUGAACCCGUCCGUUGCUUCGGGGCCGACCCUGCCGUCCGCGGCGACGGGCGCCCCCGAGGGCUGUCAACACUGCAUCUCUGCGUCGGAGUAUCGAGCAAACGCAACAAAACUUUCAACAACGGAUCUCUUGGUUCUGGCAUCGAUGAAGAACGCAGCGAAAUGCGAUAAGUAAUGUGAAUUGCAGAAUUCAGUGAACCAUCGAAUCUUUGAACGCACAUUGCGCCCUCUGGUAUUCCGGAGGGCAUGCCUGUUCGGGCGUCAUGUCACCACUCAAGCCCGGCUUGGUAUUGGGCGCCGUGGGUCCCCCCACGCGCCUCAAAGUCUCCGGCCGAGCUGUCCGUCUCCGAGCGCUGUGGCACACGUUCGCUCAGGGGCACGGGCACUGCGGGCCGUUAAAAUCUUUCAUCAGGUUGACCCCGGAUCAG
rnacentral:rRNA from 1 species